UGGCUGUAGCUAAAUUCAUUUGAUUGGGAAGUUUACUGGCUGGUUGUUAUCUCCUGUUGACAAAUCUGCUUACCGAACUUCACACACUU
rnacentral:snoRNA from 1 species